AGGUAAUAUCUGCCAACAGUUGCUGCCAGAUAUUACAUGUCCCACAUUUAUAAUUCAUGGUGAGAAAGACCCUUUGGUUCCACAAGCUCACGCAGAAUACAUUCAUAAGCACAUCAAAGGCUCUCGGUUGCUUCUGAUGCCAGAAGGAAAGCAUAAUCUACACCUGCGUUUUGCAGAGGAUUUCAACAGACAAGUGGAAGAUUUCCUACACAGACUGUAAAAAAGUUAGGGGUGUUUGUCCUUGCCUUGUUUAGGAAUUUUAGUUGACUUUCCAUUUUCAUUCAAGUUACAGGUAGGUUUGAGUCCUGUAAGAAAAAAACAUGAGAGAUAUUUGCAUGAGAAGCAUACCUUUUGAAAAUAUGUAAGCCUCAGUGGAUCAGAGCACACCACUGUGCUGCAAGAUUUCUGAAGUAUCUUUAAACUCACUUCUUGCCACACAGGCCAAAUACCUGUUCUGAGUGCAAUAGAGGUGUUAAGAAAGACAGAAAACAUGAUGUAGAAUACAUGCCUUUAUGUGCUCUUACCAUUAAAGGACAAAAA